rnacentral:lncRNA from 1 species
AUUUACUCAAAUCCGCCGCCCCUAGAAUCCCUUCGUCUCAAACUCUCUCUAACCUCUCACCGAAACCCUAGCUCCACUCCGUUGGUUUCCACCUUGUUCCACUGGAACCAAUGGCAUCCCAAUCCCUGGGUAGCCUAUACUCACUCCCACAUACCCCCGUACCCCUGUUACUUGAAGAUUCAAGGUUCGAGCUUGAAGGUCUUCACUCAGAUCUCCACCGAUUCGAGUUCUGCGGCCAUCUCCGGCUCAACACCGGCAUAUCCUAGCCAUAUGAGUCCACCUCUGACUCAUUCGACUCGGAGCAGACCCUUUUUCCAGGACUCUCUCACUUCUAGGGUUCUUCUAAAACCCUAGCCUUUCGAGGUUUUCCUAUUUUCUCUAGAUCCGCUCUUGUUUUAAGGUUUUCAAGCGUUUUCUUAAAUCUCUUUCAAAAUUUUGCUUUCAAAACUGUUCAUCUUCUCCGACUUAGGGUUUCUUUGAUUUUACUUGUUCUACUGUGAUUUUAUGUGGUGUUCUUAUUGUAUUUGUCCUACUGUGACUCCUGUCUGUUUUUACUUUGACUCCUGUGUGUUUCCUUCUACUAUGUUUCCUCCUAAUGUUUCCUUGUGUUUUCUUUUACUGUGUUUUCCCUCAACAUGUUUUCACAGAACGAUUAAGUUCCUUUGGGGUUUUCUGAGUUUGCUCUUGCCUGAUUUGUUCGUUUUCGUCCCUACACUGGAUUAAUGACGAAAACUCUAGAAUUUGGGGUUUUCGCACCACUUGUAUGUGACUUGCAUGUUCUCACCUCUGAACUAGUUUGAUUUCAAUUUCUGAAAGUCAUCUCUAUCUUUUCAUAUGGUUCUGACCUUUUGCCAAAGCUCUUCUACACUAGAUUUUCCUACUGAUUCUUUACAAUGACAGUACAGUCUUCUUUCAUGUUUGACGUGUUCGUAUGCUCCUUAUAUAUUAUGAAUUUACACCUAAAAUGGUUUUCCAAAUUUGCAAUUAGUUCAAAAUUUCUUCUGAAUAUAGCUUGAUUGAUUUCUUUCCAUUUUUUGCACGUGACUCGGCCUAAGUAAAACCCUUCUCCUUUUUUUUCCAGACUUGAUUCAUUCGUAUAAAAAAUCUCAGAUCUUUUGAUUUACUGUUUGUUAAUUGGUCUUCUUACCUUAUUUGCAGAAACCAUGUAUUUCAAAAACUUGUCCUUAAAUAAUUUUAUGUAUUUACCCUUAUUUUUAUACUAUGCACGAUGUUGUUUAUUUGACCCCCUUUCCUUAAAUAUUUCUUGUCCUUUACUGAUCAAAUUGGGAUUCCUUAAUUAAAGGAAUCUCUGUUAAUUGAUUGAUCCUGAUUGAUACUCGAUUAUUUUUCUUUCCUUGCUUGCAUGUCCGAUUUCAAGUAUAAAUACAUGCUCUUCUCUUCACUCCAUCAUCGAAUUCUGACUGCAAAUCAAAAUCAGAAUUCACAUCUAUGUCUUGAAAUAUUCUUUACUACUACCAUUACUACUCCUUUUUCUACACUACUACUGAGCAUUCUGCGUCUUCACUUCCUGCUGUUUGAAUUCCUAAGUACUUUUGGGAGCUUCUUGAGUUUCUCCCUGUUGUUCCUGACUGUUUGUUUGCUGUUACUAUCUACUGUUCUAGAAUUUGCAACUGGUAUGUUCUUUUAUGUUAAAUAGCAUCAUUGUUAUAUGGUCAACUUCUCUGCUUCUACCCCUUCUUUCUUUGUGUGUUUAUUUAUGAUUUCCUGCACUAUGUGAUCACUUUCAAGCAUGCUUUGCCUCUUUGUACUUUCAAUCUAUUAUGUUUUAAUCCCUUCCCCCCAUUCCCUUUGUAUGUGAGUAUUGUUCUGAAUCAUGGCAACACUUGGAAUUGCUGUCUGUGAUCUAGAACUAGACUCUUCAAAGUCUUUACUCAAUUGCUAUCCCAUUCCCAUUCCCCUCUAUGUUCUGAGCUUUAAUUUGGGUCUGUUGGUGUCCUAAUCACCAUUCAGACCUGAGAUUGACUCUAUAAGAGUCUGCUCUUAUUUGUUUGAAUCUGAGAAAGAGGUCAGGGGUGUGCCAGUCUAUGCCAUGACUGGGCAUGACCACCUCAUGCUGAAGUUCCUCCUUCACUUUGCACUUACUCCUAGUUCUUAAGUUCUACCCCCCUCAGGUAAGCCAUGCUUAGGGACCCUAGAGNNNCCCUCUGAACUUGGAUGCCUAAGGGCUGGUAAUUCCACACAUUGUACUACUCUGUUACAACAUUCACUCUUUAGAGUGUAAGCAUUGCCUGGGCUCUUGAAGCUCCUUGGAACUUUGAUACACUCUAAGAGAGGGCCUUGGAAUCUGGAACCCAGAUUUGGUAAAACACAUGUAUUGGAUAUCAAGAUUGCAUUAGGCUAUUUGGAUCUAGCUGUGGGUUAUGAUGUAUUUUAUUUUACUUUUGUCUCUGUAAUAAUAACUUUGUAAUAAAACUUUGGGAGUAUAGUAGUAAAGGGUAUGGGAGGGUUUUUUAGUUGUUUGCAUGUUAAAGGGUAGAAAUCACGCCUAUAGGAUUUAAUGCUUGAAUCACCUAGAAAUCAUGCCUAUAUGAUUUUAUUACUUUGACAUCAUGCCUAUAGGAUUUUAUCACUUUGAAUCAUCUAGAGAUCAUGUCUAUAGGCUUGCAUUCUUCUUCAUUCAAGCAUAUAGAAACCGUGCCUAUAGAAUUGCAAAAAAAAAGGCAAACAGUAGGUUAACACAAUGCUCGCAUGCCUUAAACGUUUAAAAUAGCAAUGAGUAAAUGAAAAUCGAAGUAGAUAUCCUGCCUAUAGGAUCUCAAGUUCGCUUAAGUUGUAAGCAUGUAAUCUGGCAACUAUUUCAACAUUUUUCAACGGAUUCGUCCAAACCUGUCCGCAACUUAAUAAACACGCGUUCCUAAAAUCGUUUUAUUAAUUCUCUGUCUGAAUUUUCUAUUCUUGAAGUUACUUUCAAAAAACAAUUUUCAAACUCUCGCCUCCUUUUAUGAACACUUUACUCCUGAAACUCUGCUGUACAUUUCUUUAAACAGUUCCACCGAUUUUUGAAACCUUUUCUGAACUUCUGCAAAUUUCUGCUUCCUUUUCAAAACUUGUCUGUGUUAGUCCCUAAUUAGUAAUCCAGUAAAAUGCUCCAGAUCCUAACAAUUGGAUCCAAGUUGCCUAAUGUAGACCUUUUAUCUAAUUCUAUGUGUUAAACUGAUCCGUCCGCCGCUUAAUUUUAAUUUAAGACUAAACCAGUAUAUGCAAGACAUGCUAAACUAUAUGUUGUCUGUUUAAAGGGGUUUCUUUGAGCCUUGGUUUGUCUUCUUGUUCUUUCCUCUAUUUGGUAUCUGUUUUGAAUGACGAAUUAGACUUUUAUCCUUUGAAACUCAAUACAAAGCCCCCAUCCCUUUCUUCCCCUUUUAGGAUUAGAAGUCUUAAUACCCCAGGACUGAUAGGCUGGGACGGGUACUAGCAUGCAAUAAGUAAAACGAGACUAAUCGCAUUUAAAUACCUUAAUGGGGUGGGAAGGGCAGAAUAUGGAUAUGAUGGCUGGUGCGCUAAUAUCUCAUUUGAGAAUGAUUGCUGGGUAUUGCACCAAAGUGAUCCAUAUUAUAUUUAACCCUAUGACCCCUUUUCAUCCUUCUUUAUUUAUUGAUGUCUUGUCUUAAAUUAAUGUUUUCAACUAAGAUUCAUCUUUUCAAAAUAACUUGUGUCUUUCUUCUUUCAAAUUUUUCAACUUGUUUACGUUUCCUAUGUGCAAACUUUGCUUGUUUACUCCUACUCUUCUAAAAGUCACAAUUAAGCAUGGCCGAGAACCACACUAGUGGAUCUUGAGGGGUGCCUAACACCUUCCCCUCGAGAUAAUCUCAAGCCCUUACCCGAACUCUGGUUUUCUUUCAAAAUCUUCUUCUUUUCUUUUAAAGUGUCAUAAUGCACUAUAAUCAUUAGGUGGCGACUCUCCAAUAAUUCAUAACCCAAAUUUCCCGAAAGCGGAUAAAAGAGUCAUUUUAUCCAUAAUGUCGAAACUCGUUUUUCGCCUUAGAAAAAUGGGGGCGUCGAUAGCAUGGCGACUCUGCUGGGAAUUUCUUUAAGGCUUUUACCAUUACGUGCUUUGUGACAUUAUUGCUUCCUUAAUUGCAUUUACUUUCAGUCUUUAAUUGUUUCAUCGAGAAUACUAACUUAGGUCUUCAUGUUUUCUUUCCCUUUAAUUUCUUCUUUUACUGCCUUGUUAUUUCAAUCCCGUUGUAAUUUCCAAGUAUUUAUUGUAAUCUUUAUGAACGUGAAAAUACAUGCAAUUUGCUUCAUAUUGUAACUGCAUUCCCCAACAUCAUAUUCCACUCGUGCCAAAACAAAUCCUAUAGCAACGCUUAUAAUGAGUGGUUGCGCCCUUCCAAUAUUAUAACCCCUAAAUGUGGCAAAGGAAUAUUUGCGGUAAAACCAGUCGAUCAACGGUGUAGUCGAUGGUUUCGCGCCUUUCCCUCUUGAGUUGUCCGCUCAAGGUUACCUUGUCUAGCACUUCAAAAGUAGAAACCUUAUUCCCUUAAACUGUUCAUGCAUCAUGGUCAGCCCUAGCCGAGUCAGUUAUGUUGUCUACAUAAUGACUCCUUAAGGUAGCCUAAACCAAAGUCCACCGGGUUUCCUCGAAACCCAAACGGACACCUCCAUGUUAUGUGCAUGUAUUUGGAGAACUAAAUGCCUUUUGCUAAUUAUUGAUUUAAAUCAUCGAGUCUGGUGGGGUUAAGGGCCUAACACUUUGUUUUGCAGAAAAUGAGGCACGAAGUCCCUAGAUUUGGUAAGGUGUCCAACAUUCACCCAAGGUUGCUAAGCUGGUGGGAAGAUCUUUAUGCCAGCGAUCAAACCCUCGUCCGCAAGUACUUAGGGAAUUUGCCCUCACUUCUGGAAAUCCAGUCUAACAACAAAAUCAUAGAGGCUGCCACUUUGUUCUAGGAUAGUGAUCGAUCGGUGUUUCGCUUCACAGAUUUGGAAAUGACUCCUUUACUGGAAGAAAUAUGAGGUUUAGCUGGUAUCCCUUGGGAGACUCCAGGUCUGCUUAUGCCGGAAAACUGCAAAAGUAGAGGUUUCCUUAAGAUGAUGGGACUCAAGAAAAAUCCCGACCUAGCUUGUCUGAAGGACUCCUACAAACCAUUUGAUUUCUUGUACGAGAGGUAUGGCCAUAGCAAGUCUUAUCACACCUACACUGAUGAGUUCGCCCUCACCUCUUUGGGGCACAUACAUAGGAAGGCCUUUGUGUUCAUGUUCUGCUUCUUGGGUAUGAUAAUCUUUCCCAUGAAGAAGGCUAGGAUUCACACCAGACUAGCCAUGGUAACCAAAACCUUAAUGAGAGGUAUCGACGAACAGACUUUCAGCAUAGUGCCCAUGAUCGUCGCCGAGAUGUAUCGAGCCUUGGGGAAAUGUGAACAAGAGGCUCCACACUUCGAGGGUUGUAAUCUGUUACUGCAACUUUGGCUCAUAGAACACCUUCAGAAAGGCGACUAUAGACAGGAAAUCAUACGCAGGGAUUGGGAUGACCAUAUCACUUUUCACCACCCAAAGCGAAUGAACUUCAUUCCCAACAUGUUCGCUCAGCCAGAGGACGCCAGCGGAUGGGUAGAGUUGUUUGAAAAUCUAAAAGAAGAGCAAGUUCAGUAGAUGUUCGAGUGGUUCCCAACAGGGGAGUUCAUUGUCCGUUCUCGAGACGCGCCAUUUCUCGUGCUUAUCGGUCUGAGGGGAACUCAUCCUUAUGUCCCUCUCCGAGUUAUGAGGCAAGCUGGAAGAAAGCAGAUCAUACCAAGGAUAGAGAAAAUGAGUCAUUUCAGAGCUCUUUCAAGAUGAUGAUAGCCCGCACAGGUGUCACGCUCAGCAUAUGUGGCACUGCAAGCUCGUCUUAGGGAAUGAGUCUAUUGAACCAAACAGGUAUCAUGCCGGGUGUGUGCCGCACUACACGGGUUGGUUGGAAGAUGAUCACAAUGGUUUGGGUCAUCCAGGAUUUGUCCAUUGUCAUAGGAUUAUUGAUGAGAAAACUGAAGCGCAAGUCAAAGACAAUCAGCAGUGCAAGAGGAUGCGAGAAUGUGAGAAUGAACAUCGGGAAAUACAGGAAGCCCAUGAGAAGCUGAUCAACGAGUGGAAGGAUAUGGCUGUCAACGCCAACAACCGGAUGGGGUAUCUGGAGCGAGGUCUAGUGGAGCUGGACGGAAAGUUCUUGAAAAGAAUUGAAGACUGUAAGAAUGCCGAGGGAAGUGCAGGCGGACAUCUUGCUCGAGCCUAUCUAUUGUUAGGACUGUGCGAGCUGAUGCAGCUGUACGAGGGAGGCAAGUGUACCGAAUCUGGGGAAGGUCUUUCUGGGACCAAGUAGUUAGGAUCUUUUAUUUCCUGCUUUCAUAAUGUAAUAAGGCCACUGGCCACUAGUGAUAUUUUUUUUAUGCAGUUGUUUUAAGACUCGUCUUGUUUUAUCAAUAAAAUGAGGCAUUUAGCGUUAUAAGUUCACCAAAUUUAAUUUGUCGCUAGGCCUACCUCGGGCACAAUGAGGCACCCAAAUUAGGAAAUGACUUAUGCUAUUGCACAACGUGUUUAAAUACCGCAAUAUUAUUUUUCAAAAUCCGCACUAACUUUUUACCUUUUUGUUUUUAUUUUUAUUUUUAUUCCCCUCCCCAAAGGUUAGUUCGUGCACUCUGGCACCAUCAGCAUACUCAACAAGAUCCAAGGGUCCUCCACCACCUCCUCCUCCAAGUCCUACCAGAAACAGGAACAAAAGCAAAAUAGGAGAUGCAAGCGCUAGAAAGGAACUUGAGGAAACUUCUCAGAAUGCUGCAAUUACCAAGGAGACUGCUGCUCAUCUUGAGCAAACUUUGCUGAGAUUUCGAGAGGAAUUGGACCAAGUUCGGAACCUGGCAAGCCUGUCAGUCACUCUUGCCUCUCGUGAUGUUAACACCCUGAACCCUGCACCUCUACAAAACACCCCGCAACCACCAAUACAACCCACUCAUGCCCAAGCCUGCAACACAUGCAUUAACACUCCACUGCUCAUUCCCGAACCACAAAACACCACAAAAGACCAUAACACUCCUAUCUUUGUGGACACUAUACCCCACUACACUCAGCCAAUCACAAGUGCACCCGAAUAAGAUGACAAGGGCUCCCUCAUUCAGAAUUUGGCCACUGAGAUCAAGAAGUUGACUAGCCGGGUUCAAGGUUUCGAAGGUAGCAAAGGUGCUAAAGGGUUGAACUAUGAAGAUCUUUGUGUUCAGCCAGAUGUUGAGCUCCCGGAGGUGUACAAACCUCCCAAGUUCGAGAUGUUCGAUGGUACAGGUCAUCCCAGGGUCCACUUGAGAAUGUAUUGUGAUAAGUUGGUAGGAGUCGGAAGGGACGAGAAAAUUCGCAUGAAGCUGUUCAUGAGGAGUCUGAAGGGCGAUACUUUAUCAUGGUAUAUCAGCCAGGAUGCAAAGAAAUGGACAAGUUGGGUAAACAUGGCGUCUGACUUUAUGGACCGAUUUAGGUUCAACACUAAGAAUGCACCAGAUGUGUUCUAUAUCCAGAAUCUGAAGAAGAAACCCACAGAGACCUUUUGCGAGUAUGCUACUCGUUGGAGGUCGGAAGCUGCUAAGGUCAGGCCAACCUUGGAGGAAGAACAGAUGAAUAGGUUCUUCGUCCAUGCUCAGGAUCCAUAGUACUAUGAAAGGCUGAUGCUAAUAAAGGGUCAAAAGUUCUCCGACAUCACCAAAUUGGGAGAAAGGAUCGAAGAAGGCAUCAAAAAUGGUAUGGUCACCAACCUCGAGGCAUUACAAGAUACCAACAAGGCUUUACAGUCUGGUGGCUCGUCAAAGAAAAAGGACGUAAAUUCCGUAAUGGCUGCGCAAAGGAACAAUUCCCCUAUGAAGUACCAGACCUAUCCCUCAACUCCACUCACAUAUCAACCUACCAUAAAUUACCAAGCACCCUCACCCGCAUAUCAAAUACCACCGUCUGCCUACCAAUCACCUCCACCGCCCACAUAUCAACCCACUUCACCAAGGUAUUCCCAACCCGCACCUGUAUACCAAGCAUAUAACUCCCAACCUUCUCAUUACCCGUCACCACCUACCCUCCAAAACCUUCCUCGACCCAGACCAAAUUUCGACCGAAGACCUCCCAGACAAUAUACCGCCAUAGCCGAGCCAAUUGACCAAUUAUAUGAAAAACUCAAAGUAGCCGGUUACGUUUCACAUAUCCCAGCUGUAACUCCAGAAAAUCCCUCUCAAUAGAUCAACCCAAACAAGACUUGUGCAUACCAUUCCGGGAUGAAAGGCCAUACCAUCGAUGAGUGUCACUCGUUGAAAGACAAGAUUUAGAAUCUGAUUGAUAACAAGGUCAUUAUAGCAAAGGAGCCCGCUCCCAAUGUCCGCAAAGACCCUCUACCUGACCACAAGGGUAGAGGCAUCCAUAUGAUCAAGAUUGAAGAUGAUUGGGACCCCAAGGGGUCAAUCGGAUUGAUAACUGAAGGAGAUGAGCCUAAAACGCCAGCAGUUACCCUCAAUCCCAUGGUUGUUCAAAUCCAGCCCUCUGAGGGAGAUGUGGUAAAUAUGUCUGUACCGCUCGAGUUUGAAGCACCUCCUGAAAAGACGCUAAAACCGAUUGAGGUUGAGUUCGGGAUUCCAAAGGCACCUACACCAUUUGAAAUUAUUGUGUUACCUCCCAGGAUGCCAAUUCCGGUUUCCAUGAUAGACGUGACCCCGUUCAAGUCAAAUGCCGUACCUUGGGAUUACACAGCUGGGGCUAGAAGGAAAGGAAAGACAUAUACUGGACAAGCAAUUGCCGCACAGGGCAUGACCAGGACAGGCAGGGUAUACACCCCAGAACAUUUGGCUGAGUCCAGCAAGCAAGCCUCUGGGCGAGCUGUCGAAACUGGACCCGAAGACCUUUGGAGGAAGAUACAGGCCAAAGAGUACUCAGUCGUUGAGCAACUAAACAAAAAACCAGCACAAAUUUCUAUUCUGGCUCUUUUGCAAAGCUCUGAGGCACAUAAAAAUGCCUUAAUGAAAAUACUGAGCAAAGCUUAUGUUCCCAGCAACAUAACAGGAGGCGAAAUGGCAAAUAUGGUAGGGCAGGUGUUGGAAAUCCACAAGAUAACCUUCCACGAGGAUGAGUUACCACCAUAAGGGCUUAGUCACAACAAGGCAUUACACAUCACUGCGCAAUGCGAGGAUUAUUUUAUCACUAAGAUCUUAAUCAAUGGGGGAUCCAGCCUUAACAUCUGUCCGUUAAUAACUCUUAGGACAUUGGGAAAAGGGCUGUAUGAGAUCAAAGACGGAGCUAUCAGUGUCAGAGCUUUUGAUGGAUCUCAAAGAUCCACCAUUGGAUAAAUUAGCCUGUGCCUACAGAUGGGACCCACCUGGUUCGAUAUUGACUUCCAAGUCAUAGACGUGCCAACAUCCUACAAUUUGUUGUUGGGAAGACCCUGGAUCCAUGCCGCUGGGGCUGUAGCGUCAACCCUACAUCAAGAAGUGAAGUUUGAGUGGAAUCAUGAGGAGGUGAUCAUUCAUGGCGACAGUAGCAACCCUAUAUACAGUCGCCAAACCAUCCCGAUGAUCGGAGGUAGAAGGAGAAUAGGUGGAGAAACAUACCACCACAUCGAGCGAGUCAACGCCAUAAACAAAGACAAGUGGUGGGAUAACAAAAUUGAGAGCAUUCUGAAUUGGAGCGGGUAUGAGCAUGGAAAAGGACUUGGCAAAAAUCUUCAGGGCAUCACCUAGCCUAUCAAGUUGAAGAAGCAUGGAACCACCUUCGGCCUGGGAUACGAGUACACCUGGGAGGAGUUCAAUCAUUGAUCACCACCAUGGCGCAGUCCCUUCUAUCCAUUGGAACAUCCCAUACCUCAGCUAGAGCAGACCUUUCAGCCGGCUGAUGUUAUAUAUGGAUCAGAGGAAGACGAGGCACUGACAGCAAUGAAGAACCUAUUUCUGGAGGAUGAUAUGGACUGCUGUGUUAUCUUUGAGGAGGAAGGGGAGGAAGGCCCAUCCAUUCAAGCUAUGAACCGAGGAGAACACCUCACCAAUUGGUCAGUCAGGACCACCAGUGCCCGGAGAGCUUUGGGGUAGCAAGGCUAAAGAAACGCACUAUGCAUCGCAUUUUUACUUUUUUAGUUGAUUUUACUUUUCCGCAUUGUCUUUUCUUUUGAAAAGAGCUCCGAUGUUUCAAACAGUUAUGAAUUUAAUCAAAAGCAUUUUCCGAGUUUAUUUUUAUAUCUCGCUCUUAUUACUUUUCUCUAUCAUUUAUUUUAUUUUACAAAGCAUUACUAUUACAUAUCUUGAUGAUGAACCAACGACUGUGACUUGCAACGAGGCAAUGCAACAAACGGACAUAGAUUCAGAGGAGAAUGAAAUACCAGAGGAGGUUGUCAGAGAGGUCGAGAAUUUUGAGAACAGGCCUAAGUCCAAUUUGGACGAAACUGAGGUUGUUAAUCUGGGAGACGCAGAGAAUGUCAAAGAAACACGUAUCAGUGUACAUUUAUCACCACCAAAAAAGAAAGAGUACACAAAAUUCUUAAAAGAGUAUAAGGAUAUAUUCGCUUGGUCGUAUGAUGAUAUGACCGGUCUCAGCACAUCCAUUGUAGCUCACAAGUUGCCGACAGAUCCGGCGUGCCCGCCAGUAAAAUAGAAGCUCAGAAAAUUCAAGCCAGACAUGAGUCUAAAAAACAAAGAAGAGGUUACCAUCAACUGGAGCCACUCCCUACAUGAUGGUUUAUGGUACAGAGGCAGUCAUUCCCGCUGAGGUAGAGAUCCCCUCCUUGAGGAUCAUACGGGAAGCAGAGUUAGAUGAUGCAGAGUGGGUAAAAAGUUGCUACGAGCAGUUAGCCCUUAUAGAUGGGAAGAGAAUGAAUGCGGUCUGUCACGGUCAAUUAUAUCAGAACAGAAUGUCCAGAGCCUUCAACAAGAGAGUUAAGCCAAGGAAGUUCACACCAGGACAACUGGUAUUGAAGAAAAUAUUUCCGCACCAAGAUGAAGCCAAAGGGAAAUUCUCUCCCAAUUGGUAGGGUCCGUACAAGGUUCACCGGGUUCUAACUGGAGGAGCCCUUAUUCUCGCAGAAAUGGAUGGAGAAGUCUGGCCGAAGCCAAUCAACUCAGACGCAUUGAAAGGAUACUACAUUUGAUCAUAUGCUUUUCUUUCAUGAUGUAAUUUGAACUACGCCUGACCUGAUUCCCAUUUAAGAGGGGAUAUGUAGGCAGCCCUAUGAGUUCGGUCACACUUUAAUAAAAAUUCUAUUUUCCCCCGAUAUUGGAACUGGGGCAGAAUUUUGAGGAGGACCCUCAAAAUUCCGAAGUCAAUUUAUCAAUCUCUUCAUCAGCGCCGACCCAGUAAACUGGGGCAGAAUUUUGAGGAAGACCAUCAAAAUUCUGGAGCCGAUCCACCUUUAGUUAUUCAGCACAGCCGUCAGCACAGCCAUCCCAAUAAACUGGUGCAGAAUUUUGAGGAGGACCCUCAAAAUUCCGGAACAAGAGAGUUGUCGUGUCUUUGAACCACGUUGCAGUUGUUGGUUCAUCCAAAAUAAAAUCGUUUUUUCAAAUUUAUACUUACAUUAUACUAAAUCAUGCAUAAAUAUCACUUGCAUCGCUGUUGUUUAGCAACGCUACCCCAAAAGAUGCGUGACGUCAAGGGCUAGGGGAUACGAACUAACCUUUCUCCUCUACAGAACUCACGAUUUUUCUUUGAAUGCAGGCACUCCAGGUCGCAAAUUUAUUGAAUACAUUCACACACUCGUGCUCUUCAGGAGUGAGGAACAAUCACGCAUUCGCAAAGUUACUAUCUACACCUAAUAUCCCCAGCAGCCACGAUAUCACAAUCAGCUGUCAGCUAAUAAAUUUCAUUACUAUUCACUCUUUACAUCAUCUACAUUUUUGCAUAAGGCUACUUAUCUGCCUUUCGAGACUAAGCUUUGUCUCCAUCCACAUUGCAUAAGGCUAUUUUCUGCCUUCCGAGGUUAAACACUACCUUCAUCCUGCAUAAGGCUACUUAUUUGCCUUUCGAGACUAAGCUCUGUCUCCAUCCGCAUUGUAUAAGGCUAUUUUAUGCCUUCCGAGUUUAAACACUACCUCCAUCCCGCAUAAGGCUACUUAUCUGCCUUUCGAGACUAAGCUCUGUCUCCAUCUGCAUUGCNNNNNNNNNNNNNNNNNNNNNNNNNNCCUCCAUCCUGCAUAAGGCUACUUAUAUGCCUUUCGAGACUAAGCUUUGUAUCCAUCCGCAUUGCAUAAAGCUAUCUUCUGUCUUCUGAGGUUAAGCGCUAUCUCCAUCCUGCAUAAGGCUACUUAGCUGCCUUUCGAGACUAAGCUCUAUCUCCAUCCGCAUUGCAUAAGGCUAUUUUCUGCCUUCCGAGGUUAAGCACUACCUCCAUCCUGCAUAAGGCCACUUAUCUGCCUUUCGAGACUAAGCUCUGUCUCCAUCCGCAUUGCAUAAGACUAUCUUCUGCCUUCCGAUGUUAAGCACUACCUCCAUCCUGCAUAAGGCUGCCGAUCUGCCUUUCGAGACUAAGCAUUGUCUCCUGCAUGGCUGAGAUAUCGCCACUUUCAUUCUUUGAACGGCUGAAAUAGCGCCACCUGCAAUUUAAAUUCUCGCUCUGGCUGAAAGAUCGCCAUCCUUGCAUUCAUUUGGAUGAAAUAUUGCCACCUUCUCAUGGGCUGAAAGAUCGCCAACUUAUUCAAAGGCGUUAUAGUUCGAAGGUACCAUCUGCAUAGCCCGAGAACGUCAUUUCAUGGCCUGCGAAUCUUUUCUUUAUGCUCUUCAUGGCCCAGGACAUCAUAGUCUGAGGACGUCAUACUAAUCGUCCAAAGGCAGCAUUUAUGGUCCAAACGGGAACUUGCAUCAUGUUUAAAUUAUGUACAGUAUACACUACGUUGCUCAUUUACAGGUACACCGGCUAGCAAACGGCCGUCUAAGAAAGAGCGAUCCCUCUCCAGUUCUCCGCAACCUGUCCGAUUCCAAACGCCUUUCCAAACUUAACCAUCGUGUUCGUCUUUAUGAAUCUCCAUCGACACAUUCCGUCAAUGGUUCCUGAACUACAUAUGGCCUGAUUCCUAUAAGACCAAGGAUAUGUAGGCAUCUCAGAAACCAGAGCGCGGUCAGAGUUCUUUUACAAUCGUCGUUUCCGGUCAAAAUUGGCCAUCUUGUCUUUACCCGACAACUUUUUCAUCCUCCUCGGGUAAAGAGAGGCAGAUGUUGAUACCCAAUUUUCCCUAUAUAUUUUUGUACUAAAAAUAAUCUCAAAAUAGCAUAUGUAUGCAUAUAUGAGCACCCCAAAAGAUUUUGGCAUUUUAAAGGAUUUUUAAACUAAUUUACGGCCCAUUUUUACACCAUAAAUCCCAAUAAUUAUUCCCAAAACUUGCCAUUUUGGAGAAUAGUUUAUUUUAUUCUGACAUUUGCAUAAAAAGAUAAUUUAAAUGAUUUUUAGUAUAAUUUUACGAGUCCAUUUUGUAUUUUCAAAACUAAAUUGCAUGAAAUUGCAAUUUUAGCCCAUUUCCAGAUUUAAUAGCAAUUUUAAUUACAAAAUCAAUCCCAAUAUUUUUAAAUUAAUACUUACAUAUUGUUUACUAACUCAGUUCUUUUAAUUUGAUUUUUAACAUCUUUUACUAUUUUUAUAAAUUCAAAAGGGAGAAAAUGUCUAUUUCAAUUUUGGCCUCAAUUGCUUCCAAUUUGGGCCCCAAUUCUAACCCCAAUUAACCCAAUUAAACGACCCAAUUACCCGACCCAUUUCCAAACCCACCCGGCCACUGUUUUAAUCCAGGCUGUUGAUCAUUUUGAUCAACGGCCACGAUUUCCCCAUUCCUUUUAAAUUUCACAACACCCCCAAGCCCUACUUCAUUUACUCAAAUGCGCCGCCCCUAGAAUCCCUUCAUCUCAAACUCUAUCUAACCUCUCACCGAAACCCUAGCCCCACUCCAUUGGUUUCCACCUUAUUCUACCGGAAUCAAGGGCGUCCCAAGCCUUGGGUAGCCUAUACUCACUCCCAUGUACCCCCGUACCCCUGUUACUUGAAGAUUCAAGGUUCGAGCUUGAAGGUCUUCACUCAGAUCUCCAUCAAUUCGAGUUCUGCGGCCAUCUCCGGCUCAACUCCGGCAUAUCCUAGCCCUAUGAGUCCACCUCUGACUCAUUCGACUCGGAGCAGACCCUUUUUCCAGGCCUCUCUCACUUCUAGGGUUCUUCUGAAACCCUAGCCUUUCGAGGUUUUCCUAUUUUC